rnacentral:rRNA from 1 species
ACGAACGCUGGCGGCGUGCUUAACACAUGCAAGUCGAACGGAAAGGCCCUGCUUUUGUGGGGUGCUCGAGUGGCGAACGGGUGAGUAACACGUGAGUAACCUGCCCUUGACUUUGGGAUAACUUCAGGAAACUGGGGCUAAUACCGGAUAGGAGCUCCUGCUGCAUGGUGGGGGUUGGAAAGUUUCGGCGGUUGGGGAUGGACUCGCGGCUUAUCAGCUUGUUGGUGGGGUAGUGGCUUACCAAGGCUUUGACGGGUAGCCGGCCUGAGAGGGUGACCGGCCACAUUGGGACAGAGAUACGGCCCAGACUCCUACGGGAGGCAGCAGUGGGGAAUAUUGCACGAUGGGCGGAAGCCUGAUGCAGCAACGCCGCGUGCGGGAUGACGGCCUUCGGGUUGUAAACCGCUUUCGCCUGUGACGAAGCGUGAGUGACGGUAAUGGGUAAAGAAGCACCGGCUAACUACGUG